AGACAAUUAGUUUAAUUUAAAACAUUUGAUUUCGGCUCAAAAGCCUAUGGUUAAAGCCCAUAACUGUCUU
rnacentral:tRNA from 1 species